rnacentral:tRNA from 1 species
UGGUUAGCUCAGUUGGUAAAGCGCUCCACUGGAAAUGCAGAGGUCCUUGGUUCGAUACCGGGACCA